GCGUCAGUAGUGCAACGGAUUAGAGCACGCGCGCCCGGAUAGAGUGAGUUGUGGGUUCGAGUCUCGCCUGACGCA